UUUGGUGGCGAUAGCGAAGAGGUCACACCCGUUCCCAUACCGAACACGGAAGUUAAGCUCUUCAGCGCCGAUGGUAGUCGGGGGUUUCCCCCUGUGAGAGUAGGACGCCGCUAAGC
rnacentral:rRNA from 1 species